rnacentral:rRNA from 1 species
GACGAACGCUGGCGGCGUGCUUAACACAUGCAAGUCGAGCGGUAAGGCCCUUUCGGGGGUACGACGAGCGGCGAACGGGUGAGUAACACGUGGGUGACCUGCCCUCCAGCUCUGGGAUAAGCCUGGGAAACCGGGGUCCUAAUACCGGAUAUGACUCCAUGACGCAUGUUGUGGGGUGGAAAGCCUUGUGCGGCUGAGGAUGGGCCCGCGGCCUAUCAGCUUGUUGGUGGGGUGAUGGCCUACCAAGGCGACGACGGGUAGCCGGCCUGAGAGGGCGACCGGCCACACUGGGACUGAGACACGGCCCAGACUCCUACGGGAGGGCAGCAGUGGGGAAUCUUGCGCAAUGGGCGAAAAGCCUGACGCAGCGACGCCGCGUGAGGGAUGACGGCCU